UCUUUCUUUGCUGGCGACCGGCGCACGGGUGAGUAACACGUAUCCAACCUACCCUUUACUCGGGGAUAGCCUUUCGAAAGAAAGAUUAAUACCCGAUAGCAUAAUGAUUCCGCAUGGUUUCAUUAUUAAAGGAUUCCGGUAAAGGAUGGGGAUGCGUUCCAUUAGGUUGUUGGUGAGGUAACGGCUCACCAAGCCUUCGAUGGAUAGGGGUUCUGAGAGGAAGGUCCCCCACAUUGGAACUGAGACACGGUCCAA
rnacentral:rRNA from 1 species